rnacentral:rRNA from 1 species
ACUCUUCGGGUGGCAGCAGUGGGGAAUAUUGGACAAUGGGCGCAAGCCUGAUCCAGCAAUGCCGCGUGUGUGAAGAAGGCCUGCGGGUUGUAAAGCACUUUCAGUAGAGAAGAAAAGCCUAGGGUUAAUAACCCUGAGUCUUGACGUAACCUACAGAAGAAGCACCGGCUAACUCCGUGCCAGCAGCCGCGGUAAU